CCCUAACUCAUCCCGACACACAUCCAUAACAGAUUUGGCUUCUCCUCCCCCCUCUCCCCUCCCAUUUCUCUUCUUCCUUCUCAAAUUCUUCCCCAACUCCUGCAAAUCUGAAGGUUUUGUCUAUGGAUUUGGACCCUAAUUCCUCCCUCAAUGUAAUCUCCUCCUAUCCCCUCGUUUUCAUCCGAAAGAAUGCUCUCAUUUGCUCAAUUCUUGCUAGGGUUAGUCAAACACUAGUUCUUUAUGGAUUUUGAAAUUUGUAUGGAAAUAUGAGAUGAUUGUUCGGCAUUUUUCUAGGAUUAGUCUUCUUAGUAUGUUAGGGUUAGGGCUAUGGUUCUUGUUAUGUUGGGGUUAGGGUUAGGGCUAGGGAUAUGGUUCUGGUUAAGUUAGGGUUAUGUUUAUUGUUUGCUAUCUAUGUUAGGGCUUUGGAUUUGUGUUAAUCUUCAGAUGAGUACUUAUGGAAUAUAUUUUGCAUUGUGUUCUUUUAAUUAACUAGCACAUAUGCUCGUGCGUUGUAAUGGGAGAGAUUGUUUCUUUGCGAGAAGCAACGGGAAAGAUAAUUGAUGUGUCAUCCAAAAAAGAGUCUCCACAAUCAUAGGUGACAGAGCAAAGAGUCAUGGUCUUCUCGCUAGACAUGUUUGACACGUGAAAUCUUGAUAGUGGUGGGGUUGGUCGGCGUGGUGGCGAGCAUCCAACUCAUGCAUUUUUUCCUCCGGUCCGCAUCCAUCUCGGGGUUGUGCAUGCCUUCUCAUUUGGUGGCUGUGCGGUGCAAGGUUGUCAGAAUCGUGAUUCUGUUAUACGAUUCUAUGACUUUAUGAUCCAAACAAACCACUCUAAUUCUACUAUUUUAAUUAAUAGAAUCUACGUUUUUACGAUCCUGAUAGUGAAGAUUCUACGAUUUGUGAUUCUAUCAUCGAAGCUCUGAUACGAUUCAAAAUCGCGAUUCUGACAACCUCGGCGACCUUCAUGACAGGUUGCUUCGACCACUCUCUACUACAACAGUGUAACUGGGUGGAUUAUUAAUUGAAGCACGUAAAUCUCAUUUCAUUAGCAUAAUCAGGCAUGAAUGUCCCUUCUUUAUACAAGUUUAUUUUCUUUGAUUAUUUCAGUGCUCAAGUGCCCAUAAUUUUGCUCUAAUCAAAGUUAAAUAACAUAUUCUUUUUUAUUGGCACGUGCCUACAAUUUUUUCAUUUAUAGUUAACCAGCAUAGAACGAACAUGCACCGCUAACCAAUGGUCAACGCUAGAUUAGAAAUAUAUUUUUGUUUUUUUAACAUUCAAAAUUGGCGAAUAUUCUUCAAAACAUAAACAAUUUUUAAAUCCCAAACAAUUUUGAACAAAUGCAAACAUUUUUUUAAUUUCCAAUAUUUUGGAAAAACACAAACAAAAUUAGAAAUAUGAAUAUUUUUAAAUUCACAGACAAUAUGUUGAAAACAUGGAAAUUUUAUAAAAACACAAAUAUUUUUGAAAUUUUGAUUUUUUAAAAGGGGAACAUUCAUAGCAAUUUUAGAAAAUGAAUUCUUAAACGCGAACAUUACUUUGGAUUUGUGAACGUCUCACUAAAAAGGAAUAUUUUCAAAUACGAAGCAUUAUAUAAAAUGUAAUUUUUAUAAAACAAAUUUCGAAGAAUUUUUUAUGAACACAAUCAUUUUUCUAAAAAUGAGAACUUUUUUUAUAUGAUAACAUUUUUUGAAUGCUGAGAAAAUUUAACACAAGAAUUUCUAAAUGUUUUGAACAUUUUUCAAAACAGGAGCAAAGUUUUGGAAUUCUGACCAUUUUUUGAAUAUUUGGACAAAAAUUGAAAUUCCGAAUAUUUUUGUAAAUUUUUAGUUCACAAAAAAUAAUAAGGAAAACAGAAAAGAAUAUAAGAGAAAGAGAAAGGAACAGAAAAAAGAAAAAUAGAAAUAGAACAAUGAAAAAGGGGAAACGUGCCGACCCAGUCUUAGGUGCCCUGUGGGAAGCUUCAACUAUUUAUCGCUCCAUGUGAUAAAUAAGGUCUUCCCAACUACGUGGGCAAUAAUAAUUGGGCUGGCUUCGUUGGGCCGGACCGCGCGUGCGGCCCAAUUGCGGAAUUCUGCAGAAACAUUUUUAAGUUUCUAGCGGAUAGACGCACAAAAAUUUAGUACCACAUCAUAUGUAUAAAAAAUCGAUGGUGAAUGGAUGAAAAAAUUGAAGAAAUGCACCUUACUUUAUUAGUAGGUAUAGAUAUAGAUUUAGGGAUGGGAAGAACUUGUGUUUAUGUUCAUCAUGUGAGGUUAAAUUGAGCCGAGCCUGGAUGAGCUUGACAUGGUGUUUGAGAGUAGUCCUGGUUAUGAGGAGGUCUUGGAACAAGUGAGGAAAGAUUUGAGUUGAAUGGACCCAAGUGACAUUGUUGAGUUAAAGGGAAGGUAUAAUGUGGGGUUUGAAAUGCACAUUCGUUGAAAGGCAACGCGUGUGAACUCCGAGCAACGUUGGGUUGCAUACAAGAAGACGAUAGCCGAAUAUCUAGACAAGACUCUUGAGUUUUUUGCUACCAAGAAGGUUGAGGCUAGUUUGCACUUGGACUUGACCUUCUUGGUAGCAAAUAACUCAAGAGUCCUCCACCCAUGAACCAAGAUGAAAUGAGUGAACCUCUUUUGACCGAACAAGUGAGGCCAACAUUGAGCCUGAUUUCAAACAACCAAAAUGAAGCUUUAUAGGAGGAGAAUGAUGAGUAUGAGGAUGAUGAGAAUGAAGUUGAUAUCCAUGGCAACAAUGUUGGUGACUUGGACACAUAUCAUGUGCAAGAGACCAUGGACCCUUCCAUCCCGUAUUCCCAUUGCUAUGCAUCGGAGUCGGACGAUGAUGGUCCCGAUGAAGAAGUUGAUGAGGAGGGGUUCACAACAAAGGAGGCCCAAGCUUUCAAGAAAGUACUAUGGCAUGAUCAUCGGAUACCAUUGUUCAAGGAUCUUAGUAUCGUGGAUGAAGCCGUGGUUGACGGUGGCAACAAUGUAUUUUCUGAAGUUAGGCCAACUCCUCACUGGGAUUUGGAACACAAGAAGAACGGUAUUUCUCCCAGGUCAAAGUUUGAAACCUUCUUGGAAUUUAAGAUGUGGCUCGGCGACUACUCGGUUACGCAUUAUCGUCUGCACAAGGUGGUUCACUCGGAUGUGAAGGUGCAUUACACCAUUGCAUGUGAGGAGGACGGAUGUCCAUGGAUUGUGCUUGCAAGUCCAUGGAAAGGAGGGCCCAAUUGGCACAUAGUGAGUUGUGUACCAAGUCACAUGUGCCGAGGCAAGAGGGUUGAUGGCAAGAUUGUGUCACAAGACUACAGACAACUCACCUCCGAGUUCAUCGCUUACAAGCUUUCCAACUCCCUCCCUCACUACCAACAAUGAGCAUCAGAGUGUCAUGGACCUUGUGAAAGCCGUCUUUCACUACAAGGUCAAAUAUGUGAAGGCAUGAAAGGCGAAGCAGGUCGCAUUCAAGAUGUUGUAUGGUGAUUAGGAGGAAGCAUACAACCGAAUCCCUAGGUUGUUGGGAGCUAUGGUCGCCACUAAACCAGGCAUGGUUCAUGUGGUCGAGUCGUGUGGCCAAAAAACAAUGAUUCGCAAUGGAAAGACAAUAUGAGUCUUUGACCGUGCAUUUUGGGCAUUCGAGCAAUGCGUGAGGGCUUUCAAACACUGUUGGCCAUAUCGGAUCACCAUCCUGGAAGUAUUAACAUGGUGGACAUUGACAUUCCUGGGCAUGCUCUGUUGCACCAUCGAUGGUGCAUGAGGCAUUUUUGUUCAAACUUCUAUAGGGCAUGUGGGCUCAAGGAACUGGUUGAGAUCUUCAAGAUUGUUGUCUCGCUUUCUCUGGUCGACGGUUCGCCUACUUGUACAACCAAUUUCUCGCACACACAAAAUCGGUGUCGGUGGUCUUGAGUUUCUCAAUAGGCACAUUCAAGAAAGAAGGAAGCGGGCACGAUCUUUUGAUGAAGAUGGUCAGAGGUACGGUCAAAUGACAAGGAACGGGGCAUAAUGUUUCAAUAGGGUGCUCAAGGGUGUACGUGCAUUGCUGGCAACAUCAAUAGUUCAAUACACAUUUGUCAAGAUGAAUGGGUACUUUCUAAAGUACUCAAUUGAAAUGGAUAAGCAGAUUGCGGGUGAGAACAAGCACAAGUACAAGUACAAGUUCCCACUUAAGGUUGAUGAAUGGUUGGAAUUUCAAUCACGGAAGGCGGACCCCCAACAAGCUAUAUUGUAUAACAACGAUGAUUGGAUGUACGAUGUAAAAGAGCCAUGAGGAACCAUAAACGAUGGCCAACAACACGGAGGUUGGACUUUCAAGGUGUCGCUAACACGGUGCCAUUGCUCUUGUGGGAGGCCGUUAUUGCUUCAUCUCUCAUGCUCACACUUGUAUACCACAGCUCGCAUUAGGAAUGUGGAUGUUAAUCACCUGCUCACCAUGAGGCAAUCCAGGUUCUCCAUCAUGGUCACCAAGAAUACAUGGGCUCCUAGAUUUCACCCAUACUAUGACCAAUCACAAUGGUCGGAGUAUCAUGGAGUUCAACUAUGGCCCAAUCCGGUUUGGAAGGUCAUUAAACGGGGAAGUCGUAAGAAAAAACAUCUUAGAGGGGAUAUGGACGGAUGGGGCCGUGGUGGUGGUCGAGAAUUUGCCAACAAUCAAUUCCAAGAGCCUCACGAGAGAGCCCGUUGUGGAGAGUGCACCUAUGUAUCACUCAAAUUAUCUAUGUAUCAAUCUCUUCGAUGAAUUAGUGCACCUAUACAAUUUACAAUUGUACUAGAUGUGUUGGGGACACAAGAGAACUCUGGUAUCUGUUUGGAGGGUUGAUUCAUCCUACACCUCCUUAGGUCAUCCAGUUGAGGAAGAUUUGUUGUUGUCCUACGGAAUUAUGUGCUUGGAGGCCCAACAUUAUUGAAAAAUAGUAAAACUCAGCUACCUACGAGCCAACACAGCGUUUUGAGACUCUCAACCAUCAGAUCCUGCUAACAUACGGUCUAGAUCUGCUCGGGUGUGCUCAAAUCGUCCACGCGCUGCAGACGCCAUUUCACUGGCCGCUGCUCCGCUGAGCGAGCGUCUGUUUUUGUCCUUAAUUGGGCUGUAAAGGCCCAAGUUCAGUAGAAGCACGCGGGUCUUCCAUUGUGUUUGCAGCUCUAUUUCCCCGACACCCCCAUCCGAACUCCCUGUUUCCUAUUCCUCGGACCGUGAUGCGCCCCCGUCCUUUCGUCCGCUAUGCGCCACCGCCGUCCUCCCUCCUACCGGGGACGAGGAUUGGCCACCCUUCCCCUCGCACGUGCCAGGUCAUCCAGUGGGUUGCCACUUGCCAGCGUUAUCCCUCAACUGCUUGUUUUUUGUCCCUUCGUCUGCGAUGUAACGCCCCGAGACCGUUGUGCCAGGUGUCCUCCAGUUAUUCGCUGUCGUUACCAUGUCAUUCGCUUGCGUGUUGCAUCUUGUCAUGUCAUCAUGUGCAUUGCAUCACCAUGUUUUCAAAACUUGCAUUCGUCCGGGUUCCCCCAGUUCCGUCCGUUGUCCGUUCUAAGCCCACACAAACUUUCACGCGCCCGCGGCACGUCCGGAAUAUUAUUUUAAUAAGUGGCCAAAAAAAUGUUCUUGGAAUGGGUUGAAAGUUGGCGUGCUGUCUUAUUUUAGUGUAGGUAGACCGCCUGUCAAAUUUCAUCACGUUUGGAGUCCAUUUGAUGCCCUAACGGAUAACUAUAGCGGCAAUAUAGCCGAUCUUUUCGUCGGACGUUUUCGGUCUCCGGAAACCGUGUCGGGCUGCAUCUCUCCCCUCUUCUCUCAGACCAACCCUCUCUCCACAGUCCACUACCUACCGCCAGGCCUAACCGAAGCUCUCUCAUCAGCCCUCGGACCUCCUCGCGCGCGUCCGAAAGUUGUCCCGGACCCGACCCGGAUAGUCAUCACCGUUGGGUCCGGAUCAUCCCCAAACAUCUACAAAAUGUCACCGUUUUCUAUCCAAAUCCACCCGAGCGCCUCCACCUUGAUUUCAGUGCCGCCCAAUCAGAGCCCUCCCAUGGCUCCCCUCGACUCCUCCCUCCUCCUGUCCGAGGAGCCAGCCCGCAGCCGCAUCGAGCUCCUCCCCGAGCACCGCGCCCGCGUCCAGCAGAUGAGCGCCGCCCCUCUCCUUCCCGUGGUCUCUCCCUCCUUCUGGUUCUUUCUCUGUCACUCUCUGAAUUUCUCUCUUUCUCGAUCUUCUCCAGGGAAUCCCGACGCCGGCAAGCAGCAGCUCCCGCAUCCCCGACUCCCUGCAGCCUCCCGUCCGCGUCGUUUCUUGCCGGUGAGACCCCGCCGCCGUGCGCCCUGAUUGAUGCCCUCUCUGACCUCCCCUGCUCUCCCUCUCUCCUCAUUUGAACAGGAAGGAGCAGAACAACCCACAUCCAUGGCACCAUCCUUGCCUCGUCUCGGCCCGGUGAAUCCGAACGCCCAAGACCCCGUGCCAAGUCCCGCUGCCGACGCCUCUUACUUCGCGCCUGUAGCCACCAGAGCUCUUGCACCAGCCCUGCCGUCGCCGCUCCACGCCAAGUCCCUCGCCACAGCCGCACGCCCGAACCGCUCGAGCCAUGCUCGCGCUCGAGCACAGCCCCUGCACUGCCUCGCCUUGCGCGUCGUCGUAGCAGCGCCCGCACCCUAUCCGUGCACCCACCACUGCAGUAGCCGAACCAUGCACAGCAGCACGCCCACCUCGUCCACGCGCCUUGCAUAUCUCCGUUGCAGCUCCCGCCUCGCCGUGCUUCGCCGCCAUGGCCACAGGAUCUUGCCUGCGCACAACCACACAUGCGCACAUGCAUGCGCUCGCCCUCUAGAAGCUCCCUCCCCCUUUUCCGCACCCCCGUCGGAGAUCUACAGCCGCCGUUGCCGUCGUCUUGUUCGCCGUCGUCGACGGCGAGCUCCACCAUGCACUCACUGCGAAUACAAGGCCUGGCCUUUGUGUUACUUCAAAAGAACUAGCGCCCUCUUUGGUUCAAGUACCCAGCAGCAGUCCAGGUGGUUAGCCAUGCGCGCUCACUCCAGGGAGGUCGUGGGUUCGAGUCCUUGGCGCCCUAGUUUUUGCUCUGUUUCUUUUCUUUUCCUUUAGUGUUGCGCGCGCGCAUACACACACUUAGCGCUCACUUGGGCCAAGUCCUCCUGGGCUGCUGCAAUCCGACCCGUUCUUAUUUUUUCCCCAGUUUAUAUUUUGGCCUUUUCCAAUGCAUUCUAAUUUACUGAAAUGCCACUGUUUUGCAUUGUUAAUAACUAGAUAUGCAUGCAUCCAGAUUAAACAAACUAUAUGUGUAAAAUGCUUAGAGUUUCAUUUAGUUUUCAUCAUAUGAAACUUUCAUCCAUGUUAAAAUGUUUAAAUUUGUUGUUUGUAUUAAUUUGCAUAAAUGUCAUGCUAAAAUGGUUUAUUUCAUAACUAAUUAACCGUAGCUCCGAAUUAAAUAAAUUAUAUAUGUAAAUGGGGUAGAAAAAUGCCUACUUUAACAUGGUUCACUUUCUUUGCAUGUUUAACAACUCUAAAAUAUGGCUUAGGGCAGAACAAUACCAAAUCUAUAAUAUGCUCAUGGGGUUUUACCGGAAUUGUUGUUCGUUGCUUCCGGCCUCAUUUAAACUUGACUAGAUAGGUAGUUUUACUUUGCUUCACCCUCUUGCCAUACUAACAACAUUUAAUCUUAUUGGGUACAUAAACGAGAUCAAACUAAAUAACUUGAAUGUGGUGUUUGCAUAUUGAGCUCCAUUUAAUUUGUAGGAUUGCUUGUGCACUUUGCCAUGCCAUGCCUCAUUAAACCGGACAUGCAUCAUACUUGUUGUGCAUCAUGCCAUGAUUUUGUGGUGGUUGUUUACUAUGUUGUUUGCUCCUUUCCUGUGUUGCUUCUUCGGAUUGGUUCCGAUAACGUCGUGUUGUGAGGAUCCGUUCGACUUCGUCCGUUUGUCUUCAUGGACUCGUUCUUCUUCCUUGUGGGAUUUCAGGCAAGAUGACCAUACCCUCGAAAUCACUUCUAUCUUUGCUUGCUAGUUGCUCGCUCUUUUUGCUAUGCCUAUGCUGCGAUACCUACCACUUGGUUAUCAUGCCUCCCAUAUUAUUAAGCCAAGCCUCUAACCCACCUUUUCCUAGCAAAUCGUUGUUUGGCUAUAUUACCGCUUUGCUCAACCCCUCUUAUAGCGUUGUUAGUUGCAGGUGAAGAUUGGAGCUUGUUCCAUGUUUGGAACAUGGAUAUUUUGCUGGGAUAUCACAAUAUCUCUUAUUUAAUUAGUGCAUCUAUAUACUUGGUAAAGGGUGGAAGGCUCGGCCUUAUGCCUGGUGUUUUGUUCCACUCUUGCCGCCCUAGUUUCCGACAUAUCGGUGUUAAGUUCCCGGAUUUUGUGUUCCUUACGCGGUUGGGUUAUAAUGGGAACCCCUUGACAGUUGGCCUUGAAUAAAACUCCUCCAGCAAGGCCCAACAUUGGUUUUACCAUUCGCCACCUAGCCUUUUCUUUUCCUUGGGUUCUGCAGACUCAAGGGUCAUCUUUAUUUAAACCCCCGGGCCAGUGCUCCUCUGAGUGUUGGUCCAACCUGUCAGCUGCCGGUGGCCACCAGGGGCAACUCUGGGCUGGCCUACCAGAACCUUGGACAAUCCGGUGUGCCUUGAGAACGAGAUAUGUGCAGCUCCUAACGGGAUUUGUUGGCACAUUCGGGUGGCUUUGCUGGACUUGUUUUACCAUUGUCGAGGAUGUCUUGUAACCAGGAUUCCGAGCCUGAUCGGGUCUUCCCGCUAGAAGGAAUAUCCUUCGUUGAGCGUGAGAGCUUGUGAUGGGCUAAGUUGGGACACCCCUGUAGGGUUUUGAACUUUCGAAAGCCGUGCCCGCGGUUAUGGGCAGAUGGGAAUUUGUUAAUGUCUGGUUGUAGAAAACUUGAAGAUGACCUUAAUUAAAAUACAUCAACCGCGUGUGUAACCGUGAUGGUCUCUUCUCGGCGGAGUCCGGGAAGUGAACACGAUGUUGGAGUUAUGCUUGACGUAGGUUGUUCUAGGAUCACUUCUUGAUCAUAGUUGUUCGACCGUGCUUUUGCCUUCUCUUCUCGCUCUCAUUUGCGUAUGUUUAGCCACCAUAUAUGCUAGUCGCUUGCUGCAGCUCCACCUCAUACCUUUUACCCUUCCUAUAAGCUUAAAUAGUCUUGAUCACGAGGGUAUAAGAUUGCUGAGUCCCCGUGACUCACAGAUACUUCCAAAACUAGUUUGCAGGUGCCGUUGAACCGUGCA
rnacentral:lncRNA from 1 species